AGAGAAACAAGUUGCUGCCAGGCUAGUGGCAGUAGGGAAAUAAGCUUCUCCAGGGUGAGGGGCUGUGUUCCUCCCCAUAGGGGAAACAGCCAAACCUGAGUGCCUGCUAAGUAAGGACUGAGAGCCCAGGGAAAACCAACAGGGCAACACCCUGCCCCAGUGAGGAGGCAGCAAAAGGUACCUUACUGGGGUUUUAGUUUAUGAGACUGUUCCUUUUUUGUUUGGUGAAGGAUCACCCCUUAGGCCGACUGUCAGGGCUACCCUGAAAGUAUGGCCAAGGGAACACCGAAGGGGAAAGGCAAACCCUGCACAGAGAGGAGCUGAUUAACCCCAGGCUCACCAUUGCCAGAGGGGAAAGCACUAAGGUCUGGUGAGACAAAGGAGGUGACUUGCCACAAUAUGUCAAAAGAAUAGUGUGACAAUUCAAUAAAACUUUCAAAGAACAGACCUGAGCAGAGAACUCCAGCAUCGUCACCGUGUCCACAGUUAUGCCGACCCCAUCCACCAGAGGAACAGUCCCGGAGAUAGGAUUCGCCUCCAGAGCAAUUCACAUCAUCCAGCCAGAUCUGCCCUGAUCCUUCCCCAUAAUGAGCUGAGCCAGGUGCAUUAAGGGCGCGUCCACAUCCCAACUCUUGGCAAACGACAUUGGCAUCUGAUGUGUCCCAGGAAUCAUCACAGACUGUGCCCCAGGCUCCACGCUAAUCAGCUUCAAUAGAGAAUGAACAGACCUGAGCAGAGAACUCCAGCAUCUUCACCGUGCCCACAGUUAUGCUGACCCCAUCCUCUGGAGGAACAGUCCCGAAGAUAGGAUUCGCUUCCAGAGCAACUCACA